UACAGAGGUCUCAAGCGUUGUUCGGAUUCAUUGGGCGUAAAGGGCGCGUAGGCGGCCACCGCAAGUCAGUUGUGAAAGCUCUGGGCUUAACCCAGAAAGGUCAACUGAUACUGCGGGGCUAGAGUGCAGAAGGGGCAACUGGAAUUCUCGGUGUAGCGGUGAAAUGCGUAGAUAUCGAGAGGAACACCUGCGGCGAAGGCGGGUUGCUGGGCUGACACUGACGCUGAAGUGCGAAAGCUAGGGGAGCGAACGGG
rnacentral:rRNA from 1 species